rnacentral:lncRNA from 1 species
GAGGAGAAGCCCGCGGCGCAGUCUAUGGCCUCCUAGGGGGAAGGGCCUUGAGGUCCCUGUCCUUCUCCUAACAGGCGGCGACGCAGCCAUGGCCUUGCUGUCGUGGGAGUCCCAGACAGGGUAGGAAGGAGGGCCAUAGAAAGGAGGAGGGCCGAGUGAACAUGGAGUUUUGAAGGGGGAAACCAUUUGUGGUAUUUGAGUCCCGGAGGCAUAUGAAACCGCCCACAGAAGACACAUUCCAAAGUCUUCAGUGGGAACCUGGGAGAGGGCAGAGGACUGCGCGGCGCUGGAUGGGGUAGAGCGAGGAGGGUCGAGGAGGGGCGCCACAGCCCACAGAGCAGGCACCGACCUCACUGCGCAUGUGCCCUGGGCGUCUUCCCGUCGGCCCCUUUGCCCACGUGGUGAACGCGGCGGAGCUGUGAGGGUGUGAGGGUCGCGCUCCUGCUGUCUGGACUUUUUCUGUCCUACUGAGACACGGCCGACAUGAGAUGAUGAACCUCAAGUACCACCCCAGACAACAAGGCUGCUUCAUCAGGACACAAACCUGCCUGUACCAGGACCUCUGACCUGUGUGCAGCAGAAGGAGUGGGUCAACAUAGCUUCUGAAGAGCAUUCAUUGGAGUGAAUCUGCCAUUUAUUGGCUGUUCUUCAAACCAUAAGACUGAUAUUGAUGGUCAGCUUACAGAGGUAUGCUCUCUACAGGUUUUUGCCUACAUUCUAGACUAACCCUGUUUAUCCCCGUGAACCAACCAGUGAUCUCUGGCUGUAUCUCAGAAGAAACAGACAGAUGGGUAAUAUAAAGAUCUAGAUCAAUAGUCUAGUUCUGGACAA